UAUCGCGGGGUCGAAGUGUUUAUCCUUGAAUUUUCCCUCAUCAGCAAGGCCAGCUAUGAAAAUGUCGCCAAGAAGUGGAUUCCUGAAUUGAAGCAUUAUGCACCUGGUGUUCCGACAAUUCUGGUCGGAACUAAGCUUGAUCUCCGAGAUGAUGAGCAAUACUUUAUAGACCAUCCUGCUGCGUCACCGAACUUUACAGUUCAGA